CAGUAGCCGCGGUAAUACGUAGGGUGCGAGCGUUAAUCGGAAUUACUGGGCGUAAAGCGUGCGCAGGCGGUCCGCUAAGACAGAUGUGAAAUCCCCGGGCUCAACCUGGGAAUGGCAGUGGAUACUGGCAAGCUAGAGUGUGUCAGAGGACGGUGGAAUUCCCGGUGUAGCGGUGAAAUGCGUAGAGAUCGGGAGGAACAUCAGUGGCGAAGGCGGCCAUCUGGGACAACACUGACGCUGAGGCACGAAAGCGUGGGGAGCAAACAGGAUUAGAUACCCGUGUAGUCCCUGUCUCUUAUAC
rnacentral:rRNA from 1 species